rnacentral:rRNA from 1 species
GACGAACGCUGGCGGCGUGCUUAACACAUGCAAGUCGAGCGGAAAGGCCACUUCGGUGGUACUCGAGCGGCGAACGGGUGAGUAACACGUGCGUAAUCUGCCCCUGGCUUUGGGAUAGCCACCGGAAACGGUGAUUAAUACCGGAUAUGACACAUUCUCGCAUGAGUUUGUGUGGAAAGUUUUUCGGCCAGGGAUGUGCUCGCGGCCUAUCAGCUUGAUGGUGAGGUAAUGGCUCACCAUGGCUUCGACGGGUAGCCGGCCUGAGAGGGUGACCGGUCACACUGGGACUGAGACACGGCCCAGACUCCUACGGGAGGCAGCAGUGGGGAAUAUUGGACAAUGGGCGGAAGCCUGAUCCAGCAACGCCGCGUGAGGGAUGACGGCCUUCGGGUUGUAAACCUCUUUCAGUACCGACGAAGCGCAAGUGACGGUAGGUACAGAAGAAGCACCGGCCAACUACGUG